rnacentral:rRNA from 1 species
UACGUAGGGUGCGAGCGUUGUCCGGAAUUAUUGGGCGUAACGAGCUCGUAGGCGGUUUGUCGCGUCGACUGUGAAAACCCGAGGCUUAACCUCGGGCCUGCAGUCGAUACGGGCAGACUAGAGUUCGGUAGGGGCAACUGGAAUUCUCGGUGUAGCGGUGAAAUGCGUAGAUAUCGAGAGGAACACCUGCGGCGAAGGCGGGUUGCUGGGCUGACACUGACGCUGAUGCGCGAAAGCUAGGGGAGCGAACGGG